UACGUCAAAAUUUUGCAAUGAGGUAGGUACACACGCCAAAUCUUCAGUUUCUUUACUACUGUACGGCAAGCACAUCUUACAAAAGUAUGAAGCAUCUUUACGUAUUAUCUUCAUUGGUGAUGCUGCUGGGAUUUACGGUUCACGUAGCCAGUGACCUCGAGGCAGAACUCACUCUGGGGUGUACAUUAUCUUGCCCUUUAUGGGGUAUAUGCCUAACUGCAGCUUUGAUAUUAGGAAAUGAUUGCGGAAACGAGCCUCGCGGUUGUGUGUGCACAAAAUUAACAGUGUAUCAAAACGAAGAAUGAGAAAUGCACGAAUUAUAGGGUGACAGGGUCUCAUAUCUUCGUCGCUAUUCUAUUUGGUAGUAAUGUAGCUAUGCAUAAGUGUGUAAUUAAAUAUAAGAAAUGCUAAGGA